AUUACUAAAAGCAGAAUUGAGUUUCAAAUUUUAAUCUUAAAAUUGUUGAUAGAAGUGUCUUGACAAUAUAAACUACCCAUUUUUAAUGAGAACUCAAUUAUCUGUAAAGGUAAUAUAGGCAGUCUAACUUGCCAGCCAUUCCCAACCCCUUUCUCCCUUCCCUGUCUCCAUUACAGAACCUGGAAAAGCUAAUUGCUUACCUUGUUAGCCUCUUCUGAAGCUCAGGUGGCCUCAAGAUGUCUGGGAAGACUUUUGCUUCCUGAUUAAAGUGACAGGUGCAGUUAGGUCAUUUCUUCCCCUUUCUCUGCCAUAAACACUGAAAUGAUGCCUAGAGCUGGAGUGGUCCUUUGUCUCUCGUUAGACAGAUUCUCACUCUGCUGCCCUGGGUAGAGUUCCAUGGUGUUACCGUAGAUCACACAGCAACUUCAAACUCUUGGGCUCAAGAGCUCCUCUUACCUCAGCCUCCCUAGUAGCAGGGACUAUAGGUGCCUGCCCCAAUACCCACCUAGUUUUUCUAUUUUUAGUAGAAAUGGAGUCUUGCUCUUGCUCAGGCUGGUCGCCAACUCCCCAGCUCAGGCAAUCCACCCCACUUAGCCUCCCAGAAUGUUAGGAUUAUAGGUGAGAGCCACCUUUCCUGGCCCUGGAGUAGUCCACUCAACUACAAGCAAGGAAGGAAGGGCCAAGAGAACCAGAAAUGCCAGUCCUCAUGUUGUUGAGCUGCUGGUCCAACGUCAGCCCCUAACUAUCUCUAAAGGUGUUAUUAUGAAAUAAAAUCAGUUUUGUUUAACUAGUAGUUGGAAGCUAGUUUAUUAGUUUUUUUUUAAAGCUUUAGUUUUUCAUUGGCCAUUUGAUGUACAAAUAGGCAUAGUUUUUCCUUAAAUAGAGUUUGCAGUUGUCUCUACUUUUAUAUGCUUAUCCUCUGCCCCUGCUUUUUGGGCUUGCAUCACAGGAGGCUGAGGCAUGAGUGGAGCUCAUAUGUCUUUAAUAGUUCUCAACAAUUCAUCAAAUUGGUAUUGUAGAGAAUUCACUUUUGGCAAGUUGUAUUUAGACAAACUUUUCAUUCUGGCUUUCUAUAAAUUUAUUCUUAGAAAAAUGACCUAGAGUCAAAUAAACUAGCUUUUAAGGCCCUCCAUAAAUCAGUUCCCAAAGCAUUCAUUAAAUAUUCAGUUAAUUGCUAGUACACAGGUUGCUACCAUUUGUUGGAUUUUUUUUUUUUUUUUCAGUUUCAGGACGGGGCUGGGUUUGAACCGGCCACCUCCGGCAUAUGGGGCUGGCACCCUACUCCUUUGAGCCACAGGCGCUGCCCUGUUGGAUGUUUUUUAAAGAGUCAGACUCUUUAAGAAGCCUGGAAUGUAGUUGGGGCGAGAAUUUAGUAAAAAAGUCAGAUGCAAACUAUGCCCAUAUCUAAGUGACCCAUAAGUCAUAUAUAGUAUAUAUUAAAGAAUAAAAUGUAGAAGUCAGGAAAUAAAAAUAGAAUAAGACAAUAAGAUAAAUUGUAUUUUUUUUUUUUUUUGAGACAGCGUCUUAAGCUGUCACUCUGGGUAGAGUGCCAUGUCAUCAUAGCUCACAGCAACCUCUAAUUCUUGGGCUCAAGCGAUCCUCUUGCCUCAGUUUUUCUAUUUUUAGUAGAGACAGGUUCUCACUUUUUGCUCAGGCUGGUCUUGAACUCAUGAGCUCAAGCAAUCCACCCACCUUGGCCUCCCAGAGUGCUAGGAUUAUAGGCGUGAGCCACUGCGCCAGGCCAAUAUGAUAUAUCUUAAAUAAAAGGCAAAUAAACACAAAUGAGAAGCAGGAUGGCAUAUAAACUGCAGUGCUUGUACUGGACAUAAGUCUUAUGUGCCUCAGAUAUCUUCCCUGAUGCCCACCUCCCAUUCACCUUGUCAGUUGCCCUGGAAAUCCCAGUUCUUCCCCGACAGCCAGGUGGACUGUGUGUCUAAGGUUUCUAACUCCUCCAGCCACUACCAGACUUGGAUGAAGUACUCUACAGAGCAUGGGAUCUGACAUUCCUAGAGAGCACCAAAGGUGGCAAAUGAUGCAUAUAUUACUUUUAGAAGAAAUAAACUGCUAAAACAUUGUCA